GCUCAUUUGGCCGAGCGGUCUAAGGCGCUAGUUUUAGGCACUAGUCCGAAAGGGCGUGGGUUCGAACCCCACAGUGAGCA
rfam:Trichomonas vaginalis G3, whole genome shotgun sequence.